rnacentral:rRNA from 1 species
CAGCCGCCGCGGGAAUACAGAGGGUGCGAGCGUUAAUCGGAUUUACUGGGCGUAAAGCGUGCGUAGGCGGCUAAUUGAGUCGGAUGUGAAAUCCCCGAGCUUAACUUAGGAAUUGCAUUCGAUACUGGGAAGCUAGAGUAUGGGAGAGGAUGGUAGAAUUCCAGGUGUAGCGGUGAAAUGCGUAGAGAUCUGGAGGAAUACCGAUGGCGAAGGCAGCCAUCUGGCCUAAUACUGACGCUGAGGUACGAAAGCAUGGGGAGCAAACAGGAUUAGAUACCCCGGUAGUCCCUGUCUCUUAUAC